AUGGCGAUCACUGCCCCAUCUGCCAACGUGUGGAAAAGGAGUUACACAAACUCUCACAUGCUCUUAACUGCUCCAUUCAGUAUAGUUGUAGGAGUUCUCACAAGAAUGUACAAGAAUGUACGAGAAGCGACGAGAUGAGGUGAUUGAGAUGAGUGAUGGACAAGCAGAACACUGUCCAUUAAAAUGUUACUUUCAAAGUAGCUACCAACGGUGUUUUUCUUUUAUUUGAUUAUGACAUCACUACAAAUUUGGUGACGAGGUUUAAAAGGGGAAAUCUGUCAUUGGACUGGCUUUGGAAUAAAGAGAGAUCAGAACUUUGUGUCUACAAAGUGCAUUUGCAGCUUUUGAUCACUGAGUGGCACUUUAACCACAAGUUACCAAACAAACGCAUCAAAGAGCAUUUUCGCAAAUAGUCGUCAGCUUUGCCUUGCCAAUGUGUUACAUUUGACGACUGCAGUCGGGGAAAAUAAAACAAAAACACUGUAGUUCAAAUAUUUAAUAUUCACAGAUUAAAAUUUAGUACCCUACUUGUUAUGUGCGUUUCUUAGAAAUAAUUCAAGCAGGAUAAAUGUCAAGCCUAUGAGCCUGUAUAUUUACUCUAAGCUACACAGUAUUACACCAUAUUUUAGAUUUGAAACAUUUAACAGGUUUGCAGUAUUAUUUAUAUAAUAUGAAUAUGUUAUAUUGAAUAUGUUAUAUUAUCCUAAAGAAAUGGUGGUUUACUUUGCACAAUGGUGGUUUACUAUUUUAGUAGGCUACGCUAUAUACAUGGAUUUAUAUAGAAAAUGUCAAUAUUCUCACAUUACUUAAUAUGUGUCACAAGUACAUUUUUAAUUAAAAUUCCUUUAAUAAAACAACAUGCAUUUUUGUAACGCACGUACUUUAUUCGUUACCUGUCCUUUAUUUUGAUAGAUAACUGCUUGGGGAAAAGAUAUCUGUAUACACUCAUUAAGAAAUUGUUGCCUGUUUUAUGAAUUCUUUCCUUUAUUUUAGUAAAACAUGAGGCACAAUAAUUUCAAUCCCAUCAUUUAGGCCUAACUAAAACAAGAAAUUAUAAAUUAAAUCUGGCCACGAUUUAGCUAAAGCAUUGAAACUGAAAAGAAUGGACGGAUUAAUAAAACAUCCUCACGUUUAAACUCAAGUUCUCUCAUUAUAAUCAACAAAGUGUACACGAUAGUAAAAAAAAAAAAACCUUCAUUAAUUGACAACUUCAGCAAUUUUAAAGGGAACCUUCUUUACUUUCCUUUCAUACAAUUUAAGGCAUCUACAGGUGCUGGUCAUAUAAUUAGAAUAUCAUCAAAAAGUUGAUUUAUUUCACUAAUUCCAUUCAAAAAGUGAAACUUAUAUAUUAUAUUCAUUCAUUACACACAGACUGAUAUAUUUCAAAUGUUUAUUUAUUUUAAUUUUGAUGAUUAUAACUGACAACUAAGGAAAAUCCCAAAUUCAGUAUCUCAGAAAAAUUAGAAUAUUACUUAAGACCAAUACAAAGAAAGGAUUUUUAGAAAUCUUGGCCAACUGAAAAGUAUGAACAUGAAAAGUAUGAGCAUGUACAGCACUCAAUACUUAGUUGGGGCUCCUU
rnacentral:lncRNA from 1 species